UCUUUGCCUUAUCUCCAAAUUCAAAGUGG
rnacentral:sRNA from 1 species